rnacentral:rRNA from 1 species
AUUGAACGCUGGCGGCAUGCUUUACACAUGCAAGUCGAACGGCAGCGCGGGGCAACCUGGCGGCGAGUGGCGAACGGGUGAGUAAUAUAUCGGAACGUACCCAAGAGUGGGGGAUAACGUAGCGAAAGUUACGCUAAUACCGCAUACGAUCUAUGGAUGAAAGCGGGGGAUCUUCGGACCUCGUGCUCCUGGAGCGGCCGAUAUCUGAUUAGCUAGUUGGUGAGGUAAAGGCUCACCAAGGCGACGAUCAGUAGCUGGUCUGAGAGGACGACCAGCCACACUGGGACUGAGACACGGCCCAGACUCCUACGGGAAACAGCAGUGGGGAAUUUUGGAAAAUGGGCGCAAGCCUGAUCCAGCAAUGCCGCGUGAGUGAAGAAGGCCUUCGGGUUGUAAAGCUCUUUUGUCAGGGAAGAAACGGUUGGGGCUAAUAUCCCCGGCUAAUGACGGUACCUGAAGAAUAAGCACCGGCUAACUACGUGCCAGCCGCCGCAGUAA